AUGUUGGGGUUGUUUUUCUCAUUUUCUCUUAGUUGGAUAGUAAUGAUUCCAGUUCUAGCAGCAGUCUUUCACUUGCUAAGGUUAGGCGGAGCAGUGAUCUCAACAAUCACACUGGCCAGUCUCCUCCACACAAAGUGCGGAGAAGUGUUUCUUCAAGCCAGAAGCAGAGAUAUUGCAGUGCCCAUGCACUAUUCCACUCUAGUUACUUCAACAUACAGUAUUAGCCAUGCAACCACCCCAGAUCGAAUCUGCUUCCCAAGAAGCACUGCCUGCGGCAGCACUUUCCAGGAUCAGCCAGGGGAGUGGCGAAGGGCAACUGAUAAUGGCCUCCCCGCCUCUCCCAGCCUGUCCCAUGAAGCCACACUAUUGCUCCAGACUCGAAGCUGAAGUUCCACUAUCGUUUUAGUAAAUUAACUUCAAAACUCAGAAAAGAGGAGGUCUAAGACUCUCCAGAGUGUCCAUGGCAACCGGCAUCACUCAAGACUAUGGCUGCCCUGUCAGCAUGGGGCCCAGAGUGAGCGGAGCAAAGCCCCUGGUAGACCCUUAAUGGCCCUGGAAUGUAAAUGAGAAAUAAACUUGGUUGUCACAAGCCACUGAGAUUUGGGGGCAGUUCGUCUGAGCACAGUAUAGCUUCCUUGACUGACAUAUGACCAUACCCUGAGCAUGUCUUUUCUGAGUUAUCCUUUCAGUCUGAUGUCAAUUUGGUAAAAAAGAGAUUUUUGCUGAAACAUUUCCUUGUCAUGCCUGUGUCUAGCUGAUACCCUCUACAGAAAAAAUAAAUAAAAUCAAUGUUAUCAGAAAUAGUUUAUGCAUAUUUAAGCAAAUUCAUACUUUUUCUCCUUUUCUGCAACACAAAUGAUUACAUGCUUUAUAUCCUGUUCUAUACCUUACUUUUUUUCACUUUAUAUUUUAGAAAUUAUUCUAUAACAGUACAUAU
rnacentral:lncRNA from 1 species